rnacentral:rRNA from 1 species
CGUAGGUGAGGGCCGUCGACGCGCGGGCCCGGGGUCCUUGCGCGGGGACCCCGGCGGCCUCCCCGGGAAGGCGGGCCUGAACCUGCG